AAGUCAAGAUCAAGGGGAACAACCAAUAUGGAUUCAAAUGACCAAUAAUUAACUGAACAUGUCAAUAUAAGCAGAAUAUACAUCAAACAAAUGGAUUAAAGGUAUGAAAGCCGAACCGAGAAGUUAAUGUCUUUGGCUCUUCAAUGCUUUAAUCUUCAACAAUAUCGUCAGUGGGAGUUACUCGUAUUGCCUAAGUUGUUAACUAAAAAUAUCCAUAACUAAAAAUAUCUACUACUGAUUUAUAAAGUUUGAAAGUAAGUAUAUAAAUCGUAUAUCAUGGUAUUCCAUAUUUUUAGGUAUAAAUAUUGGCAAAUCAUAAAAUAUUAUUAGAUCUUCAAUAACUAAACAAUUCAAACAACUUAAUAUAAAAACAAUUUGAAUAUUAUAUGUUUGGGUGUAGUCAGGAUUUCAGGGUUAUGCAUAACUACUUAAUUUAUGUAUCUAAAUGAUUCACCACUUUCAACCAUUUCAUUUUGUAUAUUAAAGACAAGACACAAGCAAUGGAAAAUCUGAUAUGUUUUGAUUGAAACGGAUAAUUGUGAGCAGUCCUAAUCUCAUAUCAGGAGUUGGGAUAGAAAUUGAAAAAAAAAAACACAUGUUUAUGAAAAAAAAACUCAUUAAAAAAAAGACACUCAUGAAAAAUAAGACAAGACUAAGCUUUCCCCAUGUUUGUUUCAACCCAUGUAGGGAAUGCAAAUACUCUAAUGCAAGAACCUAACAUUGAAUAAAAACUCAUGUUCUAGACAAUGUAAGUGAAUAAAAAAGAACCAAAGCUAUAUAUUCCACUGAAUGAAAAGUAAUAAGUUAUCAAGAAUGAAAAAUCUCAUAUUAGCUCUCUUAGACAUUUAAACAAACAGUUUAUGCGCAGAAUUAACAUAUAAUAUUCAGAAUUAAGACAAAACAAAUUAAUAUAAAUUCAACAUUACAUGAAUCAAAGAAAAACAACCAAACAGAGACGUAAAACAGUAUAAACACAAUAAUGAAUCAAAUAAAAACAAGACACAAAGGAGAAAAGAUACUUAGCUUUUGAAGCGCGUGGAAGAACCAAAGCUCUGAUUACCACCUCAUGGAAGAGGCUCCAAGGAAGAGGACUAAAUACGCGACAAGAUCUGAUUUAAAGGUCCUUGAAACUUCUCCGAGAAUGAAACGCAGCGGAAUAACGAGGAAUUAUAGAUCGAGAGAGAUUCUACCAAAACGUAAGUGCGAUAACCUUCGCAGUAACCCUAGGCACAAAUAAAAGAGAGAAUUUGAAGGAGAACGAACCAAAUUAGAGAUAGGACUCAAAAAAACCCUAAAUAGAGUAAAAAUCCUAAUCUGAACCGAAGGAACCCUAGAAAAGGAGGAAAAUUAAAAUGAACCGAUUAAUCGGUUCAAAAAUGAGAUUGAAAGGUGGAAAAGAGUUUUCAAUCAAAGGAAAAGCUUUAAAACGGAGCAAAAGAGGAUUUAAUUGGUGAAACUUGAAGAAAAUGGUGAAAGGAUGACGAAACCUUAAAAGGAGAUGAAAAUCAUCGGUGGAAGAGGAAAUUUGUUGUUGAAUAAGCUGAGGCAAUGAAGAAAUAUGAAAUAAGAUGAGGAAUUUGUGAAGAGAAAGGAAGCUUACGGUUGAUGGUGAGCUCUGAAGAAGAGAAUACUCUCCGAAGAAGAACGCAAGAAUGAAGAGAAAUUCGGGACCAACGUGAAAUAGCGAAGAGAUAUUAUGACUGGUUUCUAGAGAUCAGUCGUAAUAUAUUUAAAAAAUUUCACCUUUUGUCUAACACAUUUUAUAUUAUGACGGAUGUAUAAAAAUACGUC
rnacentral:lncRNA from 1 species